GAUGAACGCUGGCGGCGUGCCUAAUACAUGCAAGUCGAGCGAAUGGAUUAAGAGCUUGCUCUUAUGAAGUUAGCGGCGGACGGGUGAGUAACACGUGGGUAACCUGCCCAUAAGACUGGGAUAACUCCGGGAAACCGGGGCUAAUACCGGAUAACAUUUUGAACCGCAUGGUUCGAAAUUGAAAGGCGGCUUCGGCUGUCACUUAUGGAUGGACCCGCGUCGCAUAGCUAGUUGGUGAGGUAACGGCCCACCAAGGCAACGAUGCGUAGCCGACCUGAGAGGGUGAUCGGCCACACUGGGACUGAGACACGGCCCAGACUCCUACGGGAGGCAGCAGUAGGGAAUCUUCCGCAAUGGACGAAAGUCUGACGGAGCAACGCCGCGUGAGUGAUGAAGGCUUUCGGGUCGUAAAACUCUGUUGUUAGGGAAGAACAAGUGCUAGUUGAAUAAGCUGGCACCUUGACGGUGCCUAACCAGAAAGCCACGGCUAACUACGUGCCAGCCGCCGCCGUAA
rnacentral:rRNA from 1 species